AGGACGAACGCUGGCGGCGUGCUUAACACAUGCAAGUCGAGCGGAAAGGCCUUUCGGGGUACUCGAGCGGCGAACGGGUGAGUAACACGUGAGUAAUCUGCCCAUCGCUUCAGGAUAGCCAUCGGAAACGGUGAUUAAUACUGGAUAUGACAUUCCUUCGCAUGUUGGGGUGUGGAAAGUUUUUUCGGCGGUGGAUGUGCUCGCGGCCUAUCAGCUUGUUGGUGGGGUAAUGGCCUACCAAGGCUUUGACGGUAGCCGGCCUGAGAGGGUGACCGGCCACACUGGGACUGAGACACGGCCCAGACUCCUACGGGAGCAGCAGUGGGGAAUAUUGACAAUGGGCGGAAGCCUGAUCCAGCAACGCCGCGUGAGGGAUGACGGCCGUUCGGGUUGUAACC
rnacentral:rRNA from 1 species